UAGAUCCCCCUGAAGCACAAACCAGAGUUGGAAUCUCACAAUAUGAAGAAAAAUAAAAAUUUGAUCUACCAUAAGAAAGAGAAAAUAUCUGUUAAUGCAGCCAAUUGUUACAGAGAAAACUACAGAACAGUGAUGAAUCACCAGAAGGAACUGCCAAGCAAGAAAAAGAAGACUUUAGGGAGGGAGACGGAAUUAUUGAGGAGCAUACAAAAGGUUUAACAAACUCUGUCAAGAUUAGAGACA